rnacentral:miRNA from 1 species
GUGUGUGGCCCGCUCUGUCUGUGCCCCCGUACCUCCCUACAGGUUAUAGAUUAUAUAAUCUAUAGAAUAUUAUUAUAUAAUCUAUAUGCUGUAGGGAGGUACGGGGGCACAGACAGAGCGGGACAAUCAG